UACGGAGGGUGCGAGCGUUGUCCGGAUUUAUUGGGUUUAAAGGGUGCGUAGGUGGCCACUUAAGUCUGGUUUGAAAGCAGGCGGCUCAACCGUCUGAUGUGGCUGGAAACUGGGUGGCUUGAAUGGGUUGGCCGUCGCUGGAACGGGUCAUGUAGCGGUGAAAUGCAUAGAUAUGACCCAGAACCCCGAUUGCGAAGGCAGGCGACGAGGACCUGAUUGACACUGAGUGAGCGAAAGCCAGGGGAGCAAACGGG
rnacentral:rRNA from 1 species